UACUCAUGUUAAAUGGUAUUCAUCUUCUGUAU
rnacentral:sRNA from 1 species